AGAGAUGCAUUGGAUCCCAUUUUUGCAGUCUUUGGUAUUUUUGCAGUCUUUGGUAUGACUCGUCCGGAGAUCGAACUCCCAACCUUCCAAUCUCAGGGUGAACACUAACCACAGGCCCACUGAGUUGGUCCAGAUUCUUGGUAACAGAUAAUAUAAAGAAAAUGCCACCAAUCAAAUUCUAACUCGUGUCUUUGUCUGGCUGAACCUGAAUCAGACUUUGUUCUAGUGUGGGAGGUGAAACGGAGAAAGUGUCGCUCCCAAAAGAGGGGGAGAUUGGAGACCAGCAGUCAGGGAGGUCGGGGGAGGGCCAGAGGAGGAGAGAAGCAGGUCUGAAUGGAGAAAAGACUCAGCUGGCUCGAUGGAGGGACAAAUUCACCCAAAACCUGCAGAAUACCAACCUGCUGCUGGAAAAGGAGGAGACAGUGAGAGAGGAAAAAAUCCAUCCAUUAUCUGAAACUUAGCGCCCCCUGGGAUGUGUUGGUUUAUUACGCAGAGGAGCUCAUUCUAAGAGUGCCCCUACAGGCUCAACCAAACCCAGACUUCUAUACGUCUGACUGGAUCCUUCGGAAGCUAUGCAUUCCCAACAUCAUGGCUGAGUCUGUGCCCAGCAGGCCACUGGACUACUACACUUGUGCCUUUCGCAAGUCAAAUGGAGAAGUUCCUUGGCUUUGAGGACAAUGACACCUACUUCACUAACACACAGAGACACCGUAUAGUGAGUGCAUCCAUUGACCUUUUUAUAUCUUUACCCAUGUGUUGUGUAGUGAUGGACGUACCCCAGAUAUACACCCAGAGGGUACAAAACAUUAAGAACACCUUCCUAAUAUUGAGUUGGUUAGCGUGCACUGCGUGCACUGCUCCUGGCCCACCACAGGAGUCGGUAGUGCGUGAUGAGACAAGGAUAUCCCUACCGGCCAAACCCUCUCUAACCCGGACGAUGCUAGGCCAAUUGUGCGUCGACCCACGGACCUCCUUGUCGCGAACCCAGAUUCUCUGGUGGCCCAGCUAGGACUGCAAUGCAGUGCCCUAGACCACUACACCACCCGGGAGACCUAGGUCAGAUACAUUCUUAAUGUACCGCUACUCAUAAUGACAUCUGCCUAUUACAGCAGUGUGUGUGUGUGUGUGUGUAUAUGUGCGCGUGUGCAUCCAUGUGCACGUGUGCAUGUUUGUGUGUGCGGCAAGUGAGUUUGUGUGUGCAUGUGUAGAUGCGUACGUGUGUGUGUGUGUUUCUCAGGGCCCAUUUGAGCUGCCAGAGUAUGAGGCGUGUCCAGAUGAGCUCAACCAGAGGCAGGUCUUGUUCCAGUAUUGGGCCCACUGGUCUAAGUGGAACAAGUACCAGCCACUGGACCACAUCAGAGAAUACUUUGGAGAGAAGAUAGCCUUUUACUUUGCCUGGCUGGGUAAG